GAUAUCUGAAAACAUACCUAGGAGAGAGGGGAAGGUUAUUAAUUUGCUGAACCCUAAAAUCACCACAUUGUCUCUAACAAAUUUCAGGACAACCUCUGAAGAAAUCAGUGGUUUUCAAACUUGGCUGGUGAUUGGAGUAUCCUUUGAGUCUUAAAACUACAGAUACCAGGUAGGGUGGCAUCUCAAAGAUUCUGAUUCAAUUGCUGUGGGGUGUGGUCCUUGGGAUCUAGAUUAUAUUAAAUCUCCCCAGGUGAUGCUAAAUGCACAGAAGAUGCCUAGAACUUCUGCUUUAGAUAAGGUAGGCACUAACACAAAGGUUUUUCAUUAAGAGACCAAAAGGAAUAGGGAAACUGAAUUGUAUGCAUCAAGGAAAAAAUUAUCCAGGGAAUAACAAGGGAAAAGAGCCAUGGUAGAAUUGCUUUAAAUGUCCCCUCCCAUGAGUUGGAUUGACUGGGAAUCUGGGGUUAAGAGAUGUAAUGUAUUGCCUUUGGAAUGGAUAAGCAAUGAGUUCCUGUUGUGUAGCACUGGGAACUAUAUCUAGUCACUUAUGAUGGAGCAUGAUGGAGGAUAAUGUGAGAAAAAGAAUGUAUUUAUAUCUCUGUGACCAGGUCAAUUUCCUGUACAGUAGAAAAUUGACAGAAAACUGUCAACCAGCUUUAGUGGAAAAAAUAUAAGUCAUUAAAAAAAAAACCUCUCCCUCUAAAACUGGCUAUUCAGUAGCUUCCUUCAGUGCUGCCUUGAGGAUUGGCCUCAGAUGAGAGGAGGCAAAGCUUCAGAAUUAUGGUAUCCUCUUUCAUCUUUCUAGAAUUAAAUCAGAAUGUGGUCCCCUGAGAGCAGCACAGGAGGAAAACCAGGACACCUUACUCAUAAUGAUGUGUCAGGAAAGUUUCUGAGCCACCAUCACUGCAGAAGCUCCCUCAGAAGGAUGAGGUCCCAUCUUUGCUUUGUAACAAGGCUCAAGGGAGAUCUUGCUGGGGAACCUCCAGGCUCCUUUCCUUUGAUGCUAAUUAACCACUCAGGGCCCCUCCUUACAGCCUAAUCAAAUAGAGUCCAGAGGUGAAAUUUGGCUCCUCUUUGUGCAUGGUCAAUUGGGGACUAAGCCUGGACUCUCUUACCACAAGCCUGUCUCAGUGUAACCAUGGGUCACAACUGAUCCCAACACAGACCUUGGUCAGAGAAACAGACCACCCAGGAACCCCCAUCCCACUGUCUAGUCAGAAAAACAUGCUGUCUCUCGAGGGCAAAAGUGUUGAUCUGGUCAGACCAUUGGCUCAUCUGGUUGAGAAUUCCUCCAUAAUGGAAGCACAAAAAGGCUCUGGGAAAGGGCAUGGUGGUCCUUAGUGAUAUCCUCAUGCAGGUUAAGGUGUGGCCUCAGACAGUGCCCACUUCUCCCCCUAGUGUUUGGCUUUGCAGUUGGGAUUUCCCAUUGAUCAACUCUGAGUUUGAGUUCUGUUUACCACUUCCCUGCUCAUGACUUUGGACAAGUCACUUCACCUCUUUGGACUUGUUUCCUCAACUUUUUUUUUUUUUUGGAAAGAUCCUCCCACAGGUUAUUUUGUACAAAUAGCACAGAAGGACACCAGCCCCAUAUUGACAGAAGCCCAGGGAUCACACCAGUGCUUCUGUCCUCACAGUGGUAGUUAAACACCUCUAUUGUGGAGCCUUUGUGGGGGCUUGGGCAUCUUUGGGAGCUGGAGCUAGACAUGCAGCUGUACCUCCAGCUGCAGCCUUGGCCUUUGUCUGAGCCUUGGCCUUGGACUUUGGAUGGAAGAGCCUAAGUCUCUUCGCCAUGAGGGCAGGACCACUUUUCCCAAGCCUGUGUUAAGAAGUGUAGGCAAAGAAAGAACAGUUUCCUCAUCUUUGAAAUGAGGUCAUUAAUUCCCAUCAGUCAGAACUGGAGGUGGAUGAUUUUUGCUCAUUCCCUUCCAUGACCAUGACAGUCUACCACAUGUACAUCAGCUAGCAUCUUGAAAUUUAUUAAAAAGAAAUGAUAAAAAUGUGUAUGCUAGCUCAGCAGAUGAUGGAAAUUAAGAGGGGCCAUUAUGGCCAGGGAACUCAGGAAAAUUUGCAUUCCACUCUAAGAUCCAUCUGCCUCCUUCCAAGAGGUUUCUAAGGAAAAAGGCUGCCCAAGAAAAAUGGCAAAGUGUGAGCUUGACAGGAAUGUGGCUCUCUCAUAUUUCCCACAUAAUUCAUGGGGCUGAAUCUUCAAAUGCCUUUAGGUUACAGAAUUCUUUAUGACCUUUAAAUCAGGGUUCCCUUGUCAUUUUGUUCUCGUGUUGACCUAUACACCCCAAUCUCUUACUAGUUGAGUUCUAGGUCUUAUUUCUCAAACAAGCUAGAGGUUAUGGAAAGUUCCCAGGUUUAUAUUCUCCUGGAUAAUCCAGAAAUCAGAGACCUUCAUGUUUGGAAAACUAAUUUUCUAGCCAGAAUGGAAGACAUGUGGAAAGCCUUUGUUGUGGCUUAAAAAGCUGAGACCUCUAGUACCAUUUAUUUUUCAGUUAUCACCAGCAAAAUUAUCAAAACUGCUGUCUUGGGACUUUCUGUUGUAGCUCAGUAGUAAAAAACCUGAUGAGUAUCGAUGAGGACUGGGUUUGAUCCUUGGUCCCACUCAAUGGGUUAAGGAUCUGGUGUUGCCAUGAGGUGUGGUGUAGGUAACAGACAUGGAUUGGAUGUGGCGUUGCUGUGCCUGUGGUGUAGGCUGGCAGCUGCAACUCUGAUUUGACCCCUAGCCUGAACUUCCAUAUGCCUCAGUUAUGGCCCUAAAAAGGCCAAAAACAAAAAAAAAAAAAAAGAAAAAAAAGUCUUCUUAGUUUGCUAGGGCUGUUGUAACAGAAUACCCCAUAUUGAGUGGCUUAAGCCACCAGAAUUUAUUUUCUCACAAUUCUGGAUGCUAAAAAUCUGAAGACCAAGGUAUUGACAGGUUUGGUUUCUUCUGAGGCCUCUCUGCAUGGCUUGGCAUCUUUUCCCUGUGUUUUACGUGGUCUUCCUUUGGUGUAAAUCUGGGUUGUAAUCUAUUCCUUUUAUGAAGGCACCAGUCCUAUAGUAUCUGAGCCCACUCUAACAACAUCAUUUUAUCUUAAUUACCUCUUUAACAAAUGUCUCUCCAAAUAUGUCACAUUCUGAGAUGUUAUGGAAUAGGAUUUCAACUUAUGAAUUUUGAAGGGGACACAAUUCAUUCUAAAAAUUAAAAAAAAAAGGAUUUCCAGUCAUAGAUCAGCAGAAACGAAACUGACUAGCAUCCAUGAAGACAUAUGUUCAAUCCCUGGCCUCUCUCAGUAAGUUAAGGAUCCGGCAUUUCUAUGAACUGUGGCAUAGUUCACAGAUGUGGCUUGGAUCUGGCUUUGCUGUGGCUGUGGCAUAGGCUGGUAGUUGCAGCUCUAAUUCAACCCCUACCCUGGGAAGCUCCAUAUGCUAUAGGUGCACCCCAAAAAAAUCCAAAAAAAAAUAGAAAAAAAA
rnacentral:lncRNA from 1 species